rnacentral:rRNA from 1 species
GCGGCGUGCCUAAUACAUGCAAGUCGAACGGUCUUUCUAUGGAAGCUUGCUUCCACUGAGAAGAUAGUGGCGAACGGGUGAGUAACACGUGGGUAACCUGCCCAUAAGAGGGGGAUAACAUCCGGAAACGGGUGCUAAUACCGCAUAGUUUUCUUGAUCGCAUGAUCGGGAAAGGAAAGACGGCCUUUGUGCUGUCGCUUAUGGAUGGACCCGCGGCGUAUUAGUUAGUUGGUGAGGUAACGGCUCACCAAGACGAUGAUACGUAGCCGACCUGAGAGGGUGAUCGGCCACAUUGGGACUGAGACACGGCCCAAACUCCUACGGGAGGCAGCAGUAGGGAAUCUUCCGCAAUGGACGAAAGUCUGACGGAGCAACGCCGCGUGAGUGAAGAAGGUUUUCGGGAAUCGUAAAACUCUGUUGUCAGAGAAGAACAAGUUGGAGAGUAACUGCUCCAGCCUUGACGGUAUCUGACCAGAAAGCCACGGCUAACUACGUGCCAGCAGCUGC